GAGUUUGAUCCUGGCUCAGGACGAACGCUGGCGGCACGCCUAACACAUGCAAGUCGAACGGAGAUAUUUUGGUUUACUGAGAUAUYUUAGUGGCGGACGGGUGAGUAACACGUGAGCAACCUGCCUYUGAGAGAGGGAUAGCUUCUGGAAACGGAUGGUAAUACCUCAUAACAUAACGAAGCCGCAUGACUUUGUUAUCAAAGAUUUAUCACUCAGAGAUGGGCUCGCGUCUGAUUAAAUAGUUGGUGAGGUAACGGCUCACCAAGUCGACGAUCAGUAGCCGGACUGAGAGGUUGAACGGCCACAUUGGGACUGAGACACGGCCCAGACUCCUACGGGAGGCAGCAGUGGGGAAUAUUGCACAAUGGGGGAAACCCUGAUGCAGCGAUGCCGCGUGGAGGAAGAAGGUUUUCGGAUUGUAAACUCCUGUCUAAAGGACGAUAAUGACGUACUAGAGAUUCCGC
rnacentral:rRNA from 1 species